rnacentral:rRNA from 1 species
AACGAACGCUGGCGGCGCGCUUAACACAUGCAAGUCGAACGAGAAGGCGUAGCAAUACGCUUGUACAGUGGCGAACGGGUGAGUAACACGUGGGUGACCUACCCUCGAGUGGGGAAUAACCCGCCGAAAGGCGGGCUAAUGCCGCGUACGCUUCCAGGUUUGCGGAUCUGGAAGGAAAGCCAUGCCGUGGGCAUGGGGACCAAGGAUGGGCUCACGUCCUAUCAGCUUGUUGGUAGGGUAACGGCCUACCAAGGCAACGACGGGUAGCUGGUCUGAGAGGACGAUCAGCCACACUGGCACUGCGACACGGGCCAGACUCCUACGGGAGGCAGCAGUGAGGAAUAUUGCGCAAUGGGCGAAAGCCUGACGCAGCGACGCCGCGUGGGGGAUGAAGGUCUUCGGAUUGUAAACCCCUUUCGGGAGGGAAGAUGGGACGGGCAACCGUUCGGACGGUACCUCCAGAAGCAGCCACGGCUAACUUCGUGCCAGCAGCCGCCGUAA